rnacentral:rRNA from 1 species
CAGUUCAGAUUGCAGGCUGCAACUCGCCUGCAUGAAGUCGGAAUUGCUAGUAAUCGCAGAUCAGCAUGCUGCGGUGAAUACGUUCCCGGGCCUUGUACACACCGCCCGUCACACCAUGGGAGUCGGUAACACCCGAAGUCGGUAGCCUAACCGUAAGGAGGGCGCCGCCGAAGGUGGGAUUGAUGACUGGGGUGAAGUCGUAACAAGGUAAC